rnacentral:rRNA from 1 species
AGUGAACGCUGGCGGUAGGCCUAACACAUGCAAGUCGAACGGCAGCACAGGAGAGCUUGCUCUCUGGGUGGCGAGUGGCGGACGGGUGAGGAAUACAUCGGAAUCUACUCUGUCGUGGGGGAUAACGUAGGGAAACUUACGCUAAUACCGCAUACGACCUACGGGUGAAAGCAGGGGACCUUCGGGUCUUGCGCGACUGAAUGAGCCGAUGUCGGAUUAGCUAGUUGGCGGGGUAAAGGCCCACCAAGGCGACGAUCCGUAGCUGGUCUGAGAGGAUGAUCAGCCACACUGGAACUGAGACACGGUCCAGACUCCUACGGGAGGCAGCAGUGGGGAAUAUUGGACAAUGGGCGCAAGCCUGAUCCAGCCAUACCGCGUGGGUGAAGAAGGCCUUCGGGUUGUAAAGCCCUUUUGUUGGGAAAGAAAUCCAGCUGGCUAAUACCCGGUUGGGAUGACGGUACCCAAAGAAUAAGCACCGGCUAACUUCGUGCCAGCAGCCGCGGUAA